GAUACAGGGUAUCAGUCACACUGGCUGGAAAAAAGGAAGUGAAUGGGUCCAUCGGGAUUGCUUUAUAUGGAAGCAAUGGAAACUCAAAGCAAUAUGAAAUUUUCAAAGGAUCCCUCAAACCACGUACAAAAUAUGUGCGUGACAUUGAUGUGGACAUCAACGUUGGAAAAAUCCAGAAGGUUACGUUCCUCUGGAAAAAACGUUGGCUAAAUAUCUUCCGGUACAAACUGGGGGCUUCGAAAAUCACAGUGCAAGAUGGAGAAUAUGGGACUAAGUAUCAAUUUUGCAGUGGCGACACCGUGAAAGAACACCAGUUGCAGUCCCUUCUCCCUUGUUAAAAAUGUGGUGCUCAUGCCCUAAUUGGUUUGGCUCAGUGGAUAGAGUGUCGGCCUGCAGACUGAAACGUCCCAAGUUUGAUU